rnacentral:rRNA from 1 species
AGCAGCCGCGGUAAUUCCAGCUCCAAUAGCGUAUAUUAAAGUUGUUGCAGUUAAAAAGCUCGUAGUUGAAUUUCGGGGUCAGUAGAUUGGUCGUGCCUCUGGUAUGUACUGGUCUUACUGGCUCCUCCUUCCUGAUGAACCGUAAUGCCAUUAAUUUGGUGUUGCGGGGAGACUGGACUGUUACUUUGAAAAAAUUAGAGUGUUUAAAGCAGGCUAACGCUUGAAUACAUUAGCAUGGAAUAAUGAAAUAGGACGUUCGAUCUUAUUUUGUUGGUUUCUAAGAUUGACGUAAUGAUUAAUAGGGAUAGUUGGGGGCAUUAGUAUUCAAUUGUCAGAGGUGAAAUUCUUGGAUUUAUUGAAGACUAACUACUGCGAAAGCAUUUGCCAAGGAUGUUUUCAUUAAUCAAGAACGAAAGUUAGGGGAUCGAAGACGAUCAGAUACCGUCGUAGUCUUAACCAUAAACUAUGCCGACUAGGGAUCGGAUGAUGUUAAUUUUUAAUGACUCAUUCGGCGCCUUAA